UAAGAGCAGAUAAACCGCAUUUAUCUAGGUGUCUUGUGUUCCUUCUGGCUCAUUUUGAAAGCAAACUAACUGUGUUAACAUGGGAACUCUGACCAUUCUUUCCGGGUGUGUUUUCGCGGUGCUUUUAGCAGUUGUCGUUGCGGAAAACUGCGCAGGCACGAGUUCAUGCGUGUUGGAGCAAUGUAACACUGAUUUCACGAUGGGCUGUCUAGACAAUGUCUGCACAUGUAUCCCGCCGAGUAACAACAACUACAACUGUCCAACUGGUUUAGGCGAUGAAUGCCAAAAGAACCACGGACCAUGUACCCAUGGGGAUCACCGUUGGCAUUGUUAUGACGGCCGUUGCCAUUGCCGAUCUUUUGGUUAGGUAUGGCUUUAGUGUAGCUGAUU